AACGAACGCUGGCGGCAGGCUUAACACAUGCAAGUCGAGCGCCCCGCAAGGGGAGCGGCAGACGGGUGAGUAACGCGUGGGAAUCUACCCAUCUCUACGGAAUAACGCAUGGAAACGUGUGCUAAUACCGUAUACGUCCUUCGGGAGAAAGAUUUAUCGGAGAUGGAUGAGCCCGCGUUGGAUUAGCUAGUUGGUGGGGUAAAGGCCUACCAAGGCGACGAUCCAUAGCUGGUCUGAGAGGAUGAUCAGCCACACUGGGACUGAGACACGGCCCAGACUCCUACGGGAGGCAGCAGUGGGGAACCUUAGACAAUGGGGGAAACCCUGAUCUAGCCAUGCCGCGUGAGCGAUGAAGGCCUUAGGGUUGUAAAGCUCUUUCAGUGGGGAAGAUAAUGACGGUACCCACAGAAGAAGCCCCGGCUAACUCCGUGCCAGCCGCCGCCGUAAUAC
rnacentral:rRNA from 1 species